ACUUGAUGUCCCAACUUAAUAACUUAAGCCAGCGCGUCCAUGGUUGUGCUCUGGUGCCAGAGAUCACUCUACCCGGAAAAUCUACUGGCGAGCGCAUAGCAGUGGAAUAUUUAUUGGCCCAGACCAACAGAGGUGACCUGCUGGCUCCAUCGCAGGUCUCUGAAAUCCCAUCGCAGGUGCUUGAGGAGGAGGAUGAGCUAGAUGACACCAUCAGCACGCUUGACAUUGUCUGCCAGUCAGCUGAGAUAGGGGUUGGUGAUCCCCCAAGUGCUGUGGCGGAUGACACUGAACCCGGACCCCUCAUCACGGAGACCAGCCAAUGUGACUCGAGGGGCGUUGUGGGAUGGGAGGCAGUUGAUGCCCUUGUAGCCUACCUAGUUGGCUUGAAUCGUACCAU